UCGUGAGUGAAAUCAAGGUCAACGUUUGCAUAUAUGGUUUUUAUAUCUUGUAUCUUAAUGGACAACCACUUCUUUAAGAGCAACUUAACGUUUGCAGAAGCUCCAAUAAAUGUGUUUCUUGUUCAACAUUUUGGGGGUCAACUGCCACCUAGUUUUUCCAACUCUCUAAUCACUCAGGUGCAGAUUCACCUGGAAUCAAGGAAGGUUGUGGACAAGCUUGAAUAAAGGUAUUGAGAAAUUGAGAAAUCUUUGGGAGAAAAGAUGAUGUAGAGAUCCUAGUUGGUAAAUGGAGGUCAAUCAAAGCAAUUCCAUCAGCAGUAUCUAUCAAAUGAGUCGGGAAAUUUUCUUUCGCUUCCAAAACAAGUGGAAAGAACUCACAAGAAAGGAGAUCGAUGCAACAGUGAUUUGAUUAUGUUGCACUAUUUUAGACAAUCAUAUUUUUAUUGUAGGACAUUAGUUCAUCAUAAAUGUGACAAAAAAUAGACUUUGCCUAGAAUUUCCUUAUCAAUAAUAUAAUAUUUUCUUUGACAAUGAAUUAUCUUUGUAUUUUGGACAAUUGUAAUUGUCAAUAAUCAUGAUGAUUUUGUAGUAA